rnacentral:sRNA from 1 species
UUUUAGCCCCGACUGAAGCGACAUCCUUUUUUGAGGAGGCACGACGAAAAAAAGAUACAGCGGAAGGCGGGUGGAGUC